UACAGAGGUCCCAAGCGUUGUUCGGAUUUACUGGGCGUAAAGGGUGCGUAGGUGGUCGGGUAAGUCUCAUGUGAAAUCCCGCAGCUUAACUGCGGAACGGCAUGGGAUACUAUUCGGCUCGAGGAUUGGAGGGGGGACUGGAAUUCCCGGUGUAGCAGUGAAAUGCGUAGAUAUCGGGAGGAACACCGGUGGCGAAGGCGGCAUCCUGGACCGGUAUUGACGCUGAUGCGCGAAAGCCAGGGGAGCAAACGGG
rnacentral:rRNA from 1 species